UAGCUCACUUGGUUAGAGCGUGGUGCUGGUAACACCAAGGUCGCGGGUUCGAUCCCUGU
rnacentral:tRNA from 1 species